rnacentral:rRNA from 1 species
AACGAACGCUGGCAGCAUGCCUAACACAUGCAAGUCGAACGAGACCUUCGGGUCUAGUGGCGCACGGGUGCGUAACGCGUGGGAACCUGCCCUUAGGUUCGGAAUAACUCCCCGAAAGGGGUGCUAAUACCGGAUAAUGUCUUCGGACCAAAGAUUUAUCGCCUUUGGAUGGGCCCGCGUUGGAUUAGCUAGUUGGUAGGGUAAAAGCCUACCAAGGCGACGAUCCAUAGCUGGUCUGAGAGGAUGAUCAUCCACACUGGGACUGAGACACGGCCCAGACUCCUACGGGAGGCAGCAGUGGGGAAUAUUGGACAAUGGGCGAAAGCCUGAUCCAGCAAUGCCGCGUGAGUGAUGAAGGCCUUAGGGUUGUAAAGCUCUUUUACCCGGGAUGAUAAUGACAGUACCGGGAGAAUAAGCUCCGGCUAACUCCGUG